GACGGAAGGUGCAAGCGUUGCUCGGAAUCACUGGGCGUAAAGGGUGCGUAGGCGGCUUGGUGGGUCUGGUGUGAAAGCCCCGGGCUCAGCCCGGGAAGGGCACUAGAAACUGCCGAGCUGGAGUGCCGGAGGGGAGAGUGGAAUUCCUGGUGUAGCGGUGAAAUGCGCAGAUAUCAGGAAGAACACCUAUGGCGAAGGCAGCUCUCUGGGACGGUACUGACGCUGAGACGCGAAAGCGUGGGGAGCGAACAGG
rnacentral:rRNA from 1 species